UACAGAGGGUGCAAGCGUUAAUCGGAGUUACUGGGCGUAAAGGGUGCGUAGGCGGUUUAUUGGGUGUGAUGUGAAAGCCUUGGGCUUAACCUGAGAAGUGCAUCGCAAACUAAUAAACUGGAGUAUAUGAGAGGGUGGCGGAAUUUCCGGUGUAGCGGUGAAAUGCGUAGAGAUCGGAAGGAACGUCAAUGGCGAAGGCAGCCACCUGGCAUAAUACUGACGCUGAGGCACGAAAGCGUGGGGAGCGAACAGG
rnacentral:rRNA from 1 species